AGAGCGAACGCUGGCGGCAGGCCUAAUACAUGCAAGUCGAACGGACCCUUCGGGGUUAGUGGCGGACGGGUGAGUAACACGUGGGAACGUGCCCUUUGGUUCGGAACAACUCAGGGAAACUUGAGCUAAUACCGAAUGUGCCCCCAUCCUUAAACAAGAUGGGUGGGAAAGAUUUAUCGCCAUUGGAGCGGCCCGCGUCUGAUUAGCUAGUUGGUGGGGUAAAGGCUCACCAAGGCGACGAUCAGUAGCUGGUCUGAGAGGAUGAUCAGCCACACUGGGACUGAGACACGGCCCAGACUCCUACGGGAGGCAGCAGUAGGGAAUCUUGCGCAAUGGGCAAAGCCUGACGCAGCCAUGCCGCGUGAAUGAUGAAGGUCUUAGGAUUGUAAAAUUCUUUCAGCGGGGACAUAAUGACGGUACCCGCAGAAGAACGCCCGGCUAACUUCGCGCCAGCAGCCGC
rnacentral:rRNA from 1 species